UAGGUGAACCCUUCCGUGGGUUUUUCAGUCUCAAGGCAGGAAGCCUCCUGAGCACUAAAAGCAUCAUUGCGAGGAAGGGUGAGAAAUGCCCCCAGCUCCUGGUCAGGGGAGAAGCAGUUUUCAUUGCCCUUCCUGUCGCCUCCCUGCCGCACAGCUGUAUCUACUGAAGCAGGAGCUGCAGCGAGCCAACAUGGUUUCCUCCUGCGAGCUGGAAUUGCAAGAGCGGUCCCUGAGGACAGCCAGCGACCAGGAGUCCGGGGACGAGGAGCUGAACCGCCUGAAGGAGGAGAAUGAGAAACUGCGCUCGCUGACUUUCAGCCUGGUGGAGAAGGACAUUCUGGAGCAGAAACUGGACGAGGCGCGGGGGAGCCGACAGGAGCUGGUGGAGCGCAUCCACUCGCUGCGGGAACGGGCCGUGGCCGCUGAAAAGCAGCGAGAGCAGUACUGGGAAGAGAAGGAACAGACCCUGCUGCAGUUCCAGAAGAGUAAGAUGGCCUGCCAGCUCUACAGGGAGAAGGUGAACGCGCUGCAGGCCCAGGUGUGCGAGCUGCAGAAGGAGCGAGACCAGGCAUACUCCGCAAGGGACAGUGCUCAGAGGGAGAUUUCCCAGAGCCUGGUGGAGAAGGACUCCCUCCGCAGGCAGGUGUUCGAGCUGACGGACCAGGUCUGCGAGCUGCGCACACAGCUCCGCCAGCUGCAGGCAGAGCCUCCGGGUGUGCUCAAGCAGGAAGCCAGGACCAGGGAGCCCUGUCCACGGGAGAAGCAGCGGCUGGUGCGGAUGCACGCCAUCUGCCCCAGAGACGACAGUGACUGCAGCCUCGUCAGCUCCACAGAGUCUCAGCUCCAGUCGGACCUGAGCGCCACGUCCAGCCGCGAGCUGGUGGACAGCUUCCGCUCCAGCAGCCCCGCGCCCCCCAGCCAGCAGUCCCUGUACAAGCGGGUGGUCGAGGACUUCGGGGAAGAACCCUGGUCUUUCAGCAGCUGCCUGGAGAUCCCGGAGGGAGACCCGGGAGCCCCGCCGGGAGCUAAGGCGGGCGACCCACACCUGGAUUAUGAGAUCCUAGACACGGCAGGUGAGUGCGCCCAACCCUGAACCUCCACAGCAGUCCACCUCGCCUGGGCAGAGCAGGGAGCUGAUGAGAAAGCCGGGGCCUCUCUCCAGGGAAAGGGCAGAUAGAAGCAGAGCUCAGCUUCUGCCCUGGGCCUUGACCUUGCACGUUGGGAAAGUCCCGCCUGCCAGCCAGCAUAAGCCAAAGGCUGGCUGCGCUCUGUCUGCUGGCGUCCUUGUGUUUUUCCCUAGAGCCAGGGGAGUUGUGUCUGAUCCACGCCCCGCUCAGCACCCAGUCCCCUGCCUCUGAUCUGUAAUGCUUGGGCUUCCCAGCGGUUUCAGAAGGCAGCAGGCAGGGUCGCUUAGUGGUGCCAGGCUGAGGCGAGGCACAG
rnacentral:sRNA from 1 species